rnacentral:rRNA from 1 species
AACGAACGCUGGCGGCAUGCCUAACACAUGCAAGUCGAACGAGACCUUCGGGUCUAGUGGCGCACGGGUGCGUAACGCGUGGGAACCUGCCCUUAGGUUCGGAAUAACUCCCCGAAAGGGGUGCUAAUACCGGAUAAUGUCUUCGGACCAAAGAUUUAUCGCCUUUGGAUGGUCCCGCGUUGGAUUAGCUAGUUGGUAGGGUAAAAGCCUACCAAGGCGACGAUCCAUAGCUGGUCUGAGAGGAUGAUCAGCCACACUGGGACUGAGACACGGCCCAGACUCCUACGGGAGGCAGCAGUGGGGGAUAUUGGAACAUGGGCGAAAGGCUGAUCCAGCACUGCCGCGUGAGUGAUGAAGGCAUUAGGGUUGUAAAGCUCUUUUAACCGGGAUGAUAAUGACAGUACCGGGAGAAUAAGCUCCGGCUAACUCCGUG